rnacentral:snRNA from 1 species
AGCUUUGUGCAGUGGCAGUAUAGCAGCCAAUGAUUUUUAUCCGAGUUGUGAUUAUUGCUAAUUGAAAACUCAUUUUAUAGAGGGGGAAACUGAGACCCAACUUCACAUAAUACAUAUCAGAGUCAUUAUUAUAUCCUUAGAGAUGAUGGCAAAUUUGUUGUUCAGCUAUUUUUUCAGUUGUAUCCAACUGUUUGUGACCCAAUUUGGG